CAGAGGUGAUGGUGAGCGGUGCUAAGGCAGACUUGGCACUGCAAGAUGCAGACAGGAACACAGCAUUGCAUUUGGCUUGCAGCAAGGGUCACGAGACAAGUGCCUUGUUGAUUCUGGAGAAAUCAGCGACAGGAAUCUCAUUAACUGCACCAACGCUGCUCUGCAGACGCCCUUGCAUGUAGCAGCCAGGAAGGGAUUGACAGUGGUGGUCCAGGAGCUGCUGGUGAAAGGAGC